AAAACCUACAGCAGUGCAAAGGCCAAACCAAAGAGUGAUGCCUUCAGCCUCAAGGCUUUCACCGAUGAACAGGCCUUUCAAUACAGGUGAAAUCCACUGGAGUUAUCAAAACCUUCCAGCUGCAGAAAAAGGCAUCUUCGAACCAACAUAUGUGGACCCAAUUCCAGAUUCAAUUUAUGUAAACGGAGAUGACUCAUCGUUAGAUUCAGAUUCAGGAAAAUACGAGAAUAUUUUUCAAACAAAA